rnacentral:lncRNA from 1 species
CUCACCACUCCGCAUGCCUUAUGUAGUAACGACUAAUGCAUCCAACAUGAGUGACUUUGUCUUCUAGUUAGUCACAGAAGACUAUUGACAUCUAAAAGCUCCACUUGCAUCUUCAAUCUCCCCCUUUUAGCUUUGUGUGCCGAUCAAGCACAAUAUUCUUCUGGUUCAACAACCACGUUUCCUCACCUGGAAACUUCCACACUUGAUAUGUCAUUCUCCCACACGAGAGUUGCACUAUCUUCAUCUUCUAUAAUAGAUAUACUUUUCUCCCCCACGAGAUAAGCACCAUCUACAUCAGGACAUCCAUCACCAUGUUCUUCUCCCCCCACGAGAUGUGCACUCCUUGGAUUAGAAUGUCACCACUUCUACCCCUGCUUGAUUGCAUACUAAGCUAAAACAGAUGCUUAGAUGUCAAUACAAACAUCACAGACACACCCGUCUGCUUCUUCAUGCGUACUGCAUCAGGCUCUAACGCAUCCGCCGAACUACUUCUUGAACUACCUCUCGAACCACUCCUUGUCUUGGCUCCUUAGGCUUGGGCUUCUUCCCCUCUGCUGUAAAUAUGAUAGGCUCCUCCCACCCAUUUUUCAUAGCUAUCCACGCAACAUCAUUGAUUCCUCGAACCAACAGCUUCAUGCACACCUUCCAAUGACCACACCAGCCAUCCUUCAACAUUAUUGUCUUCUGCAUAGAACAAUCGUGUACAUCUUCACCUUCAGGAUCACACCAGUAACUUAGGUGACCCGCUCUGAUACCAAUUGUUAGUGCUAAUAUGACACCACAAUUGAGUAAUGCAGAAGAUAAAUCAAGAGACAAAAUAGAUACAAGCAACCAACUAUUGCUUUAUUAGAAAUCGCCUAAACAAUCUAUUACAAGACUUGCUUAUCAGCUUUACACAGCCUGUUAACACCUGAACAACUGCUACUGAAAGAUUCUUGAUCUACCCAAACUUGUCUCUCUGUCGUCAGUACUUCAGCAUCAGCUUCAGCACGACCCAAGAACACCCCUAAGGGAUUUUCACUCUUCCUCUAUAAUAAUAGCCAUUUUCUUAUGGAACACACACGACUCCGUAGCUCUUUUAUAGUGAUCUUCACGUUUCUGAAAUCCUAUUCUCCAAGGAACAUGAAUAUGGACAACUUCCAUAUCAAUAAGUACACUUUCCUUUUCUUGAAAUGCACAUAUUCCUUAAGGCAUAAACUUGCUCCCCAAGUUAAUCUCUUGCCUUCUUUCCACGGUAUAAACUUGCUCCUCAAGUUUAUCCCACGCCAGCUCAGCAUCUUGCGUCCACAUGGUCUCUACCACUCUGCAUGCCUCCUGGUUCAUUCUCUGACACACAUUGCCCCAGCAACUACUUCAACGACUACGUCAAAACAUAAACCCUCAGUUUAUCCUUCUCCAUCUCAGCAUAUCUUGCAUCCACAUGGUAACCCACUACUCUGCAUGCCUUAUGUAGUAACGACUAAUGCAUCCAGCACCAGUGACUUUGUCGCCUAGUUAGUCACGGAAGACUAUUGACAUCUAUAAACUCCACUUGCAUCUUCAGAGUAGUCUUGCCUUCUCUAGUCCCAUCCUUAUAAUCUCCUCCAGUAACCCAAGUCGGCAAAAAAAAAAUAACACUCUUUACCAAAUGUGGUUUGAAGUUACAUCACAAAAGAACUAACCCUCUUGCACUAUCACUAGGCCAAUCAAUACUUUAAGUAACUGAGAUGAUAAGUUGCAGUCUAUCUAAAAAAGACCUAGAUAGUACAAGAGGUACUUCAAAAGUUUUAAUGGUUAUAUAUGAACCAUUUUAUAGACCAGAAGUUUAAAACAUACUAGAUCUAGUCCCGCACAUGUAAAACGUGCAGGAGUAUCAAUUUUCCAAAAUGUGCAUAAUUUUGGUAACAUUUCACGCAUACAUGUAAAAUUUUUUGCUUCAGAUUAUAAUGAUGUUGUGACUGACUACAUAUAAUUUUUCUUCUUCUUAGGAAUGAUUUAAGUAGCUACUUCUCACUUUCUAUGAUUAAUGAUAAAAUAAAUAGUUAGGAUUUCUAAAUACUAGGGGCAUUUCUCCCGCGCAAGCGCGGACUUGUGGACAGAGUUCUUGUUUCAUCUCAAUAUUUGCUAGGGUUAUUUUAGUUUUGAAUUUUGCGUUUUGAGUUGUUUUUCAAGUUUUUUUUAUUGUUAUAGGGUUAGAGUUGUGAUAAUGAACUGUGUAUGCAUUGUUCUCCACUUAUGAAAGACUAAACUGUGUUAGAAAUAGUUUGUGGUGUUGUUUGUUGUGUCAUUGAAACUUAUUGUUUGUUUGUCUUUUUAAUUUGUUUCUUGUACUAUUGAGAGUACAUAAAUUAUAUUAAAGUUGUUGAGAGUGCAUUUUGUUUCUGGAUAUUUUUUCUCCAGUUUAGUUGUGUGUAUUAAGUAAUAAUUUUUAUUAUCCUUAUUAUGUUUGUUAUAUGUUUUUAUUUUAUUUUUAAACGUGUUGCUCUUACCAGACCUUUAAAACAAAUACAUGAAGACUUGUAGAAAUAAUUAUAAAAUGAAUGACAGUUCUGAGUAUUUGGACCUUAAUGGGUUUUAAACGAAUUUAUGUAUUUCUCAUAAGAAGACAAUAUCAUUGGCCUUUUGACAUUGGGCAUGUAAGUUAUUUUUAUAAGACAAGAGGAGUGAGCAGGUGGAGAUGUUGUUGUCGCCUUUGUGUAUGUCGGGAUUGUCUCUUGUAUCUCCUGGUGUGGCUGUGUUUGUUUAUCUUUUAUUUGAUGGGUAAUAUGUGAACAGAAAUCAUUGUUAGUUGUAUUUAUUAGAGUUCGUAACUUGCUCUGCUUUUUUUGUUUAGGUAAUUUCACUGAUCUUGGUUGUCGUCUUUGUCUUCUUCAUUGCGAAAGUAAGUUUGUAAAUUGCUAAAUAGCUAGCCGUGUAGUUUGUAUUUGUUUAGCUGACUCGAUGUAUGUGUCGUUGAGUUUUAGUUGAGGUGAUUGGUUUGAUAUAUUUGUUUUGAAGUUUAUUUCUAAGAUUAGACAAAAAAAAGAGGUGAUCAUUAAUGAUUCAUCUUUUUUGGAAUUCUAGUUUUUGGUGUUUUGAUUGUUUGAGUUGUUGUGGUUUCUUUUAAGCUGUAAAAUAAAGGUCUGUGUAAAAUUAGUUAGAUAAGUAAGGGAGAUAAAUAGACGACCACAGAUUUUGGGUAGGAAAUAUUUUUGAUUAUUGAUGUUAGCACAAUAUAGAUAAAAAUAUAAAGGGAAUUGUGUGUUGAUUGUUUCUUAUAGAUCAAUGAGGAGACGGAUAACGACUCGAGUUAUUUCUAUGGUAAGGUCAGAGCACUGGACAGAACGGAUUUGUCCAACCACAUCUGUGAGUUUAAAUAUCAGUUAUGAUAUACAAACAUAAUAUAUACCCAGAUGCAAUAUGAUAAUAUACCUGGGAGUUCUAGGUUUUUGUUCGCAAUCAUUUGGAAAUUGUCGAACAAUCUAAUUAUGACUGGAGAUUGAUCUCAGGAGCAUCCGUGAUGACUUCAUCAAUAAUAGUUGGUGAGAUGAAACGAAUGAGGAAUGGAUGAUCAGUAAUAUUGUACAUGCUUGAGCACCUAGCAACCUCAAAACGAUCAACUUUCACAAUGGAACCGGCUUUCAAAGAUGGCAUGUAAUGAUUAGCACAUCCGGCAGGAAUAAACCCAUGAAUCACGGAAUCUGCAAAUAAUAUUAUUCAACAAAGAAUCAAGAAAUCAAUUAAAAAUAAUUAUAUUAAAUAAGUAUGACAAAUCGAAGAUUAACUUACCUUUUCAUCAAGGAAGAGAACCGUGAUUCCCAUAAACUCACUGUCUUUCUUGAAGUUCAGGGAAUUCCAGAAGCGAGGAGGUUAGAGGCUAUGCUCUAACCACUACGACCAAGACGGAGAGACUCGAAGGUUGAGUGACGGAUGCCGGGGACGCCGGUUUGAGGAACUGGAGAGGCAGAGAGAGACAUUUUCUAGAAGAUGGUUAAAGCUAAGAGGAAUCAAUGAGUUUUGUGGAGAUGCAUAUUGGGUUCAUCAAGAUGAGAAUCAUAUAUAUAGAGUUUACAAAAGAGCUAAGAUGAAUCAAUGAGUUUUGGGGAGAUGAAGAGUUCACCGGUGAAAAAAUAGAUUACGAACUAACACACGGCGCAACUCUUUAACUCGAACUUGUCUGAGACAAUGAUGAAAAGAACUCUAACUCAUGUUAAACAGUUUACAAUAUAGAAAAACUAUAAUUGUUGUUUUUUCAUAUAACGUGAUUAAUCACAUUUAAAAAUGAAACUCAUAAUACACUUGUAGGCCCGGCCCACAGAGAAAACCGAAGAAUCAAGGGUUUCCUCCCUUCUCUAGUCUUUUUCUUUAGCCUUGAAUUGCAUAUAAACUUUGUUUCACUCUACACACAGGUCACUGAGCUUCCCUUCUUCGCAUCAAAGGUGCGUUUGGGAUGAUGUGGGAUCGAUCAAGUGUACGGUCUCGGACCAUUGAACUAAUACGAGAGGUAAAAGUUGAAAUCUUGUUCCAUGUUCAUAUCGGUGUCUUGCUAAAUUGAUCAGGAUGGGAUUAGACAAGGCAAAGAAGAGCUUUCAGGGAGUAUUGCAAAAGGUGUUACCUUUGUGAAGAAGUAAGAGAGUUGAGUAUGUUAGUGCAAAGAUGACACCACAAUUGAGUAAUGCAGAAGAUAAAUCAAGAGACAAAAUAGAUACAAGUAACCAAGAAAUCGUCUAAACAAUCUAUUACAAGACUUGCUUAUCAGCUUUACACAACCUGUUAACACUCUAACAACUGCUACUGAAAGAUUCUUAAUCUACCCAAACUUGUCUCUCUAUCGUCAGUACUUCAGCAUCAGCUUCAGCACGACCCAAGAACACCCCUAAGGGAUUUUCACCCUUCCUCUAUAAUAAUAGUCAGUGUCUUAUGGAACACACACGACUCCAUAGCUCUUUUAUAGUGAUCUCCACGUUCCUGAAACCCUAGUCUCCAAGGAACAUGAAUAUGGACAACUUCCAUAUAAUAAGUACACUUUCCUUUUCUUGAAAUGUAUUUAUUCCUGAAGGCAUAAACUUGCUCCCCAAGUUUAUCUCUUGCCUUUUCUCCACGGUAUAAACUUGCUCCUCAAGUUUAUCCCACGCCAGCUCAGCAUCUUGCGUCCACAUGGUCUCUACUACUCUGCAUGCCUCUGGGUUCACUAGCUGACACACAUUGCCUCAACAACUACUUCAACGACUACGUCAAGACAUAAACCCUCAGUUUAUCCUUCUCCAUCUCAGCAUAUCUUGCAUCCACAUGGUAACUCACCACUCCGCAUGCCUUAUGUAGUAACGACUAAUGCAUCCAACAUGAGUGACUUUGUCUUCUAGUUAGUCACAGAAGACUAUUGACAUCUAAAAGCUCCACUUGCAUCUUCAAUCUCCCCCUUUUAGCUUUGUGUGCCGAUCAAGCACAAUAUUCUUUUGGUUCAACAACCACGUUUCCUCACCUGGAAACUUCCACACUUGAUAUGUCAUUCUCCCACACGAGAGUUGCACUAUCUUCAUCUUCUAUAAUAGAUAUACUUUUCUCCCCCACGAGAUAAGCACCAUCUACAUCAGGACAUCCAUCACCAUGUUCUUCUCCCCCCACGAGAUGUGCACUCCUUGGAUUAGAAUGUCACCACUUCUACCCCUGCU